GGCGCUAGAUGUGGGUCACAUUCCACGUGAUCCGUGUCGCAGCUAACGCAUUAAGCGCCCCGCCUGGGGAGUACGGCCGCAAGGCUAAAACUCAAAGGAAUUGACGGGGGCCCGCACAAGCGGCGGAGCAUGCGGAUUAAUUCGAUGCAACGCAAAGAACCUUACCAAGGCUUGACAUAUAGAGGAAAACUGCAGAAAUGUAGUCCCCGCAAGGUCUCUAUACAGGUGGUGCAUGGUUGUCGUCAGCUCGUGUCGUGAGAUGUUGGGUUAAGUCCCGCAACGAGCGCAACCCUCGUUCUAUGUUGCCAGCACGUAAUGGUGGGAACUCAUGGGAGACUGCCGGGGUCAACUCGGAGGAAGGUGGGGAUGACGUCAAAUCAUCAUGCCCCUUAUGUCUUGGGCUUCACGCAUGCUACAAUGGCCGGUACAAAGGGCUGCAAUACCGCAAGGUGGAGCGAAUCCCAAAAAGCCGGUCUCAGUUCGGAUUGAGGUCUGCAACUCGACCUCAUGAAGUCGGAGUCGCUAGUAAUCGCAGAUCAGCAACGCUGCGGUGAAUACGUUCCCGGGCCUUGUACACACCGCCCGUCAAGUCACGAAA
rnacentral:rRNA from 1 species